GGUUCAGAAUUGAACGCUAGCGGGAUGCUUUACACAUGCAAUUCGAACGGCAGCACGAGGAAAGUUUAUUUCUUUGGUGGCGAGUGGCGGACGGGUGAGUAAUGUAUCGGAACGUGCCCAGUAGUGGGGGAUAAAUACGCGAAAGCGUAGCUAAUACCGCAUAUUUCUCUUCGGAGGAAAGGGGGGGAUCAUUUGACCUCUCGCUAUUGGAGCGGCCGAUAUCAGAUUAGUUAGUUGGUGGGGUAACGGCCUACCAAGGCAGUGAUCUGUAGCUGGUUUGAGAGGACGACCAGCCACACUGGGACUGAGACACGGCCCAGACUCCUACGGGAGGCAGCAGUGGGGAAUUUUCGACAAUGGGGGAAACCCUGAUCGAGCCAUCCCGCGUGUGGGACGAAGGCCUUCGGGUUGUAAACCACUUUUCUUAGCGAAGAAAAGCCUUAGGCUAAUACCUUAAGACGCUGACGGUAGCUAAGGAAUAAGCAUCGGCUAACUACGUGCCAGCAGCCGCGGUAAUACGUAGGAUGCAAGCGUUAAUCGGAAUUACUGGGCGUAAAGGGUGCGCAGGCGGCUUGGAAAGAACGGUGUGAAAUCCCGGGGCUCAACCCCGGAACUGCACUAUUAACUAUCAAGCUAGAGUAUGUCAGAGGGGGGUGGAAUUCCGCGUGUAGCAGUGAAAUGCGUAGAUAUGCGGAGGAACACCAAUGGCGAAGGCAGCCCCCUGGGAUAAUACUGACGCUCAGGCACGAAAGCGUGGGUAGCAAACAGGAUUAGAUACCCUGGUAGUCCACGCCCUAAACGAUGUCAACUAGCUGUUGGGCCGGUUACGGCUUAGUAGCGCAGCUAACGCG
rnacentral:rRNA from 1 species